rnacentral:rRNA from 1 species
AGUGAACGCUGGCGGUAGGCCUAACACAUGCAAGUCGAACGGCAGCACAGUAAGAGCUUGCUCUUUCGGGUGGCGAGUGGCGGACGGGUGAGGAAUACAUCGGAAUCUACUUUUUCGUGGGGGAGAACGUAGGGAAACUUACGCUAAUACUGCAUACGACCUACGGGUGAAAGCAUGGGAUCUUCGGACCUUGCGCGAUCGAAUGAGCCGAUGUCGGAUUAGCUAGUUGGCGGGGUAAAGGCCCACCAAGGCGACGAUCCGUAGCUGGUCUGAGAGGAUGAUCAGCCACACUGGAACUGAGACACGGUCCAGACUCCUACGGGAGGCAGCAGUGGGGAAUAUUGGACAAUGGGCGCAAGCCUGAUCCAGCCAUACCGCGUGGGUGAAGAAGGCCUUCGGGUUGUAAAGCCCUUUUGUUGGGAAAGAAAAGCAGCAGGUUAAUACCCCGCUGUUCUGACGGUACCCAAAGAAUAAGCACCGGCUAACUUCGUG